rnacentral:lncRNA from 1 species
GGGAUGGAAACAACCUUUACAUUCUGUGUACCCUUCUCAGAGUUUGUGGCUUGAACCAUAUGAGAUUAUUGAUAUUUGACUACCCUUGACUUACAGAAUUUUAUAUAAUUUUUCCUAUACUAGUUGAAUCCCUUCUCAUGGGCUCAAGGCAGAGAAUGGGGAGAUGCAGGAGAAACUGUGUAGAAAGAUUUAAAAUAGAUUCAUAGUGAACAUUAACCUGGGUCUGGUUUUCAGAAGAUGCCUUCAGUUCUUUAAAGCAUCAAAGAACACCCCAUGGAUGGUCCUUAUCUACAGGGUCAUACCAAGUACUAAGGAUCUCUGCUUAAGCUUUAGGGUGCUUCCCACAGGAGAAAUAGAGAUAAAACUAACUGCAACUCCUGUCAGAACUUCCAGUACAGGGCUGUGAUUCUUGCAAACACAGGAGUUCAGGUAAAAGGAAAAGAUUUAAUGGGGAGUGGCCCUGUGAUACAUCCUCAGAUACUUGGGAGAGACACCAACAUCAUAAAUCUGUUGGGGCAUAACACAGGAUCUUCUAGGCAAGAUCUUUCUAAUUCCUUUUGAUUCCCCAGAAAAUUUUGGCUGAAAUCUUCCCUUUUUGGCGUAACUCAACAUAAUAAAGGAAAUUGCUAGACAAGAAGUUAAUUUGACAUCCUUAUUUAUAAAUCUACUUAAGACCCCAAAGGAAUGAGAUGCAAGGCUGGCAAGAUUUUAUUGGAGGAGAGUUGAAAAAAUGGUUAACAUAUGUGGAGGCAACUUAUACAACUCUCAUAAUGAAGGCAAGCACUGACCCUUCUGAAUUGUGGAAAGAAUUGAGGAUCCAUAUGAUUAAAGAUCAGUGGUCACUGAAGAAUAUGUCACAAUUUUUUUCAGCGACAUGGCCUAGACAGAGUAAAAUGGCAACUCCCCUCCUUCCCCACCCCAUGAUAGAUCAACUCCCAAGAGAGGUACUUACGUGGGGUGUCCCUGGCCAAAGCCAAGGGAGGGCUCAGCACCACCAGCAUCACGGUCAGAGCCGCCAUCCAAAAGCCUCUGGAGAAACACAGAUGCAACAUGCUGGAGAACAUGAGAGGACAGUGUGUGAGAUAGUAAGAGUCAUGAAAAGAGGAAAGGGGGUAUGUUUCAGAUUAAUUAUGGAGAAGAAGGGGCAAAUAAAAUGGAAUGGAAUGACAUGCAGGGGAAACAAAGGAUUAAAAACAGAAAGCAGGGAGAAGUGCCCUGGCUUAUGUAAGAGAAAACCCUUCCUUAAGGAAGAGAAAGGGAUAUACAAAGAGAAAGUACCCCCAAGAAAGUAAAAGUGUAUAGCCGAAAUAGAAAGGGAAAUGAACUGAACCAAGCCAUUUCGGUAAUCCCAAGGCAGUUACAAGAUUAUGAAGUAACAGAAUGGAAGGAAGGCUUGAAUUGACUGCGCACUAAUAUUCUCAUAAUGUGUAAGGAAAUAUCAUUUGAUGUAGCGGGAAGGAUGGGUCCUUUUAGAAGGAAUACAUCUUCUCCCUUUUCAAAGGCAGCACCUAUAGGCUCAGCCAUCAAAGUAAGAAUCUGCCUCAUCCAUCAAUUCAGUUCCAGAUUAAUUCCUCUUUAGGAAGGCAUUCCAGCUUUUCACACUGAGGCAUUUUUAAAAAGAAAAGCAUUCCUGGAAAUCCCCAUCCCUUUGACCUUUCUCUUCAACCAAUAGGGAUAGGAAACGAAGCAGCAUCACUCGUCUCCAAGCAGAUGUAUCUUUUAAGAACGUCUGCUCUGAUCCCAGGUCUUGGGGAGAAGGUGGAGAAAGGACAGGGGACUAAUAUGUGGUGAGAGGACAGCCUAGUUUCAUGGAGAAAAAUGACAUUCCAUGUUAGAGAGCCAAGAAACCACACUGUGGUUGUGAAGCAGAGUAGAAGGUAUCUAAGUACUUAGCAUUGGGUGGAAAAAGAGAGGAAAGCUGAUAUUUUUCAUGCAUCUAUGGGAAGUCCCUGCUCAGUUUCUGAAAAGAAGGAAAUGGCUAAGACGCUGAACUCUCCCUGCUACUGAUGCAUGAGUACCUAUGGUGGAAGUGAUGGAAAUUGUGAAAAAGUCCAUAAGCCCACCUGCUGAUUGUCAGAGGACAAUUUGAGGGAAAGCUGUGUUAUCACAUGCUGAUGAUUUUGCUCUAGAGAGGCAGCACUUCCAGCUAUAUCCUUUCUCAAUUAAUCACCAUGACUGUCUUGCAUUUUUUGUUAACCACUGAUUCUUCAGCACCAAGAAUAGUUCUUAGCACUCAAUAACC